rnacentral:rRNA from 1 species
GUGCGAAAACUUUACAAUGCAGGCAACUGUGAUAAGGGAACCCCGAGUGCCGUAUGGACGGGCUGUUCAGGUGCUUAAAAACCACCUGGAGAAAGGGCCGGGCAAGACCGGUGCCAGCCGCCGCGGUAAUACCGGCGGCUCGAGUGGUGGCCACUAUUACUGGGCUUAAAGCGUCCGUAGCUUGGUCGUUAAGCCUCUGGGGAAAUCUUCCGGCUCAACCGGAAGGCGUCUCAGGGGGACUGGCGGCCUAGGGAUCGGGAGAGGUGAGAGGUACUCUGGGGGUAGGAGUGAAAUCCUGUAAUCCUCAGGGGACCACCUGUGGCGAAGGCGUCUCACCAGAACGACUCCGACAGUGAGGGACGAAAGCUGGGGGAGCAAACCGAUUAGAGACCCCAGUAG